rnacentral:rRNA from 1 species
AAGGGAUUGCAACCAGACUUGCUCGCGGUGUUCCGCCGGUCUUCUGACCGGUCUACUCGCCGCGUUGCAGGCCAGCAUCGUCUGGUGCCGCUGGAUAAGACUUGAGGAAUGUAGCUUCUUUCGGGGAGUGUUAUAGCCCUCGGUGCAAUGCCGCCUACCUGGACCGAGGACCGCGCUUCGGCUAGGAUGCUGGCGUAAUGGUUGUAA